AGUGGGUAGUCCGUACGAGCGCACCCUAUCCUUAGUUGCCAGCGAGUCAUGUCGGGAACUCUAGGGAGACUGCCGGUGACAAACCGGAGGAAGGUGGGGACGACGUCAAGUCAUCAUGGCCCUUAUGGGCAGGGCUACACACGUGUUACAAUGGCCGGUACAAUGGGCUGCAAACCUGCGAGGGUAAGCCAAUCCCAAAAAACCGGCCCCAGUUCAGAUUGGAGUCUGCAACUCGACUCCAUGAAGGCGGAAUCGCUAGUAAUCGCGGAUCAGCACGCCGCGGUGAAUACGUUCCCGGGUCUUGUACACACCGCCCGUCAAGCCAUGGAAGUCGGCAGUACCCGAAGCCGGUGUCCCAACUCUUCGGAGAGGGAGCCGUCGAAGGUAAGGCUGGUAACUAGGGCUAAGUCGUAACAAGGUAGCCGUACCGGAAGGUGCGGCUGGAUCACCUCCUUUCU
rnacentral:rRNA from 1 species